rnacentral:rRNA from 1 species
GAUGAACGCUGGCGGCGUGCUUAACACAUGCAAGUCGAACGGAAAGGCCCAAGCUUGCUUGGGUACUCGAGUGGCGAACGGGUGAGUAACACGCGGGUGAUCUGCCCUGCACUUCGGGAUAAGCCUGGGAAACUGGGUCUAAUACCGGAUAGGACCACUUCUUGGAUGUUGUGGUGGAAAGUUUUUUCGGUGUGGGAUGAGCUCGCGGCCUAUCAGCUUGUUGGUGGGGUAAUGGCCUACCAAGGCGUCGACGGGUAGCCGGCCUGAGAGGGUGUACGGCCACAUUGGGACUGAGAUACGGCCCAGACUCCUACGGGAGGCAGCAGUGGGGAAUAUUGCACAAUGGGCGCAAGCCUGAUGCAGCGACGCCGCGUGGGGGAUGACGGCCUUCGGGUUGUAAACUCCUUUCGCUAGGGACGAAGCGUUUUUGUGACGGUACCUGGAGAAGAAGCACCGGCUAACUACGUG